rnacentral:lncRNA from 1 species
ACUCCAGCCAGUGCCUUCAACACCCACAGCUAUCCAUGUGCUUUCAGCUGUACCACAAUACCUUUUGUGCUCUAUAUAGUCCCAUAGCCUGCUAAGUGGAGAAGCUUCAGGGGGGAGUGCCCACACAGCCCAGCUGAAUGCAGAAAGUGUGGAGGCAGGACGAAAGCAUAAGGAACUGAUCCCCGGUGAACAAAAAUCCCUAAUUAUAGAUGAAAAGGAAGUGAUGGUCCAGGCAAAGAGCCGUGGAUCUGUGGUGGCUCUCUGUGUGAGACAGGAAACCAGGAACUGCCUGCUGCCCUUGUCCCAUGUUCCUGCCCCUGUGCUGUCAUCUAUGAGCCUUUGGAAGAUACCGCUGUAGCUUUCUGCCGAGCCAUCUUGUAAAUUGAUCCCAGGCCUACUUGAUCUUGUCCAUUUGGCACUGCUGGAGGAAUAACAAGUUUCUUCCCAUCAUGCACCAUUCUGGGAUACAUCAUGACAGAGAAAUCUCAAAGCCCAGGUCAAUUAUAACAGAAGAUGUGUAGCACCUCUGCCCCCACAGCGUCUUCUGGGGAUCUACUUGGCAAAAUGAUAUAAAACUAUUUCCGAAGACUUCCCAUGAUCUGGCGCUGCUUAGAACUAAGUCACCGGCAAAAUGUGCUGUUUGUGCCAUUCCCAGGAAGCACUAGUUCAGCGAUGGCCACGGAACAGGGACAGGUCCUCUCUAGGUAAGUGGGCAAACCAGCUGGCUGCAGUGUCCACGGUCCUGGCAUCGGGUAAAACAAAUCUUGGCUUCCUCCCUAGAAAGUGGAGUGGCUUCAGCAGGAGAGAUCAGGCAUAUCCUCCGCACAGCCCUGCUCCAGACAGCCAGUGGUCUGCAGGAGGACAGAGGGCUGCCUUUGAGUUCCCAGCUGCAGAGAAGGGGAGAGACCCACAGGUCCUGCCUUUCAGCAAGAAGAUCUGAUACCAAGCUCCACCAAAUAAGUCUUAGUAAGAAAAGCUACGGGAGUUAGAAAAGAGACCUCCAUGAAGAUGAUUUCAUGGACCAACCUGGAAAGAGAAUACUUCUGGAUGAGAGCAGCAUGAAGGUAUUUGUUAUUGUUGAGACUAUGUACAUGAGCUGGCAGAAAUCAAGCCUCUGCCAAGCCUGAUAAGGGGCUAGUAUCUUCCAAGAGUUGUUGCAUUUUCCUAAUGAAAUGACCUCUUUGAGAUGAGGUAGUGUUCAUUUCAAGCUAUAUCAUAUCUUGCACAGUGCCAGCUUAUUCUUUAUUUGCUUCAGGUUUGAGCUCAUCUUUGCCAAGCUGUGUUCUUGUAAACCUAUUCAUAUAUCCAGUCACAUCAAGAUAGAAUUUGUGGAUAGACACUGACAUUUAGGAAAAAAAAAUCAGACCAGGAAAACAUCUGCCAUGAACAAAGGUUUAAGGAACUAUUCUUAUCUCAUGCAGUACAUGGAUGGAUGGUGCAGGGCACUUAACUGGCUUUGCCAUGAACUUUACACUGUGUUGCUUGCAUGGGGAAGGCUGUGUGUUGAGGGGGGCAGAGGUUGGUGCAGAUGACCUGAAGCAAGAAGGAGGUAGGUUGGACCAUUGAAGCACUCAAGUGCCCUUGAGUAAGUGGCUUGACUUGCUUGUUCCUUAGGGUGACCUUGGACAAGGCUCUUAAAUUCCUUUUCCUCAGUCAGCCCAGCUGGUAAAUUUGUCUGGGGGUGAAGAAACACCAAAAUAACAUUGAAAAGCCAGCAGUGCCCCUGCAUUGCCCUUUCCAGGGUAAACAAGUCAUACCCCCAACAUUUCCCCCAAGCCCACCAUCAGGGAGGGAUUUUCAGUGUGUCCUCUAUGGAGCCCUGUGGAAAAGUCUGGAUGCAACGUGAACUACACAAGUGGUACAGUUGCAUAUUCAGAUGUAGUGCAAUGUUUGUUCAUCUCUCAAAAUGUGUGUACAGUACUGAUCACUGUGUUAUCUGUGUGCUUACUGCUAAGUAGCAAUGCAAAGAUUCUUCUCCUUCCCUUCUUCUACAUAAACAGCCAAAUAUACAGUACUUUUUUUCCUCUGUUACCUUUUCCAUGAUAAAAAAAAAAAAUCUAGACAUAAUAAACCAGUGUGUUCAGCAUCUAGUGGAAAGAUA